rnacentral:rRNA from 1 species
UACGAAGGGGGCGAGCGUUGUUCGGAUUUAUUGGGCGUAAAGAGCGUGUAGGCGGCCAAGUAAGUCUGCUGUGAAAACUCGAGGCUUAACCUCGAGCUGUCGGCGGAAACUAUUUGGCUAGAGUCCGGAAGAGGAGAAUGGAAUUCCCGGUGUAGCGGUGAAAUGCGCAGAUAUCGGGAAGAACACCCGUGGCGAAGGCGGUUCUCUGGGACGGUACUGACGCUGAGACGCGAAAGCGUGGGGAGCGAACAGG